ensembl:rRNA 5S_rRNA 5S ribosomal RNA
UGGUUAGUACUUGGAUGGGAGACCGCCUGGGAAUACCA